AGUGAACGCUGGCGGUAGGCCUAACACAUGCAAGUCGAACGGCAGCACAGAGGAGCUUGCUCCUUGGGUGGCGAGUGGCGGACGGGUGAGGAAUACAUCGGAAUCUACUCUGUCGUGGGGGAUAACGUAGGGAAACUUACGCUAAUACCGCAUACGACCUACGGGUGAACGCAGGGGACCUACGGGCCUUGCGCGAUUGAAUGAGGCGAUGUCGGAUUAGCUAGUUGGCGGGGUAAAGGCCCACCAAGGCGACGAUCCGUAGCUGGUCUGAGAGGAUGAUCAGCCACACUGGAACUGAGACACGGUCCAGACUCCUACGGGAGGCAGCAGUGGGGAACAUUGGACAAUGGGCGCAAGCCUGAUCCAGCCAUACCGCGUGGGUGAAGAAGGCCUUCGGGUUGUAAAGCCCUUUUGUUGGGAAAGAAAUCCAGCUGGCUAAUACCCGGUUGGGAUGACGGUACCCAAAGAAUAAGCACCGGCUAACUUCGUGCCAGCCGCCGCAGUAA
rnacentral:rRNA from 1 species